rnacentral:tRNA from 4 species
GCGCCCUUCGUCUAUCGGUUAGGACAUCUGCCUUUCACGCAGGAAAGAGGGGUUCGAUUCCCCUAGGGCGCGCCA